rnacentral:rRNA from 1 species
CCCGGGUCUUGUACACACCGCCCGUCACACCACGAGAGUUUACAACACCCGAAGUCGGUACGCCAACCGCAAGGAGGUAGCCGCCCAAGGUUUGACUCAUGAUUGGGUG